rnacentral:lncRNA from 1 species
CUCAGGCGCGCGGGCGCGCUCUGUUCGUCGGCGCGGCUGACCCGUGGCGGCGGCGCCGUCGCCGAGGACUCUCGGCGGUGACGAUGGUGCUCAUGGCCCUUCAUGUCUCCCACGUGGUCGCUCGGUCGGUCCCUUUUGCCUCCCUGUUGGCGCGGCCCCUGCGUCGUCUUUUUUUUUCUUCUUCGGCCCUCCUUUUGGGCUCUCCUUCUUUUUUUGCGUCCGCCUGUUGGCCGCCAGGCGCGCUGUGCCGCUUGCUUUGUCGGGGCGCUCGGGUUGUCCCUUUUCUUUUUGUGUGCGAUCGAGUCGCUUCCGGUGCGCGGCCUCUUUCGUGCGCGUGCGCGCUUGCCCGGUCCGCCCGGUCUUUUUCUUCCCCCUCUCGGCGCUCUCGGCACGAUCCCCGCUUGUCCUUGGUGCUCUUGAGCCGGGAGGCGUGCGCUCCCCUCCCUUUUUCCCCUCCUCGCGCUCUUGUUUUCCUUUUGGCUCGGCGUGCGCUGCGAGCCCACAGCCGGCCCGUGGGCCUUUUAGGGCGACGGCAUCUCCCACCAGAGGUGCUUCUUUUUCUUUUCUCUCCUCCCCCAUCGACAACAGCCACACCGCACACGGCAACAGCACCGACAACAACCAACGCAGAGCAAGUUUCGCAUGCGACAAAAAAAAAGAGGAAAAAACCGUCUCCCCCUUUGUCUCGCUGUCUCUUUCUUUUUUCCCGUAUUUUUUUAUUUUUUAUUUUUAUUUACCCUCGCGCGGUUUGUGCGGGCGCAAGAGGACCGCACGCAGACGACUUUCUCUCCUCGAUUUUCUCUUUUUUUUUAUCGACCGGAAGAAAAGGCGGCCGCCUACUGGCACCGCGCGUGGUGGCC